rnacentral:rRNA from 1 species
GACGAACGCUGGCGGCGUGCCUAAUACAUGCAAGUAGAACGCUGAAGGAGGAGCUUACUUCUCUGGAUGAGUUGCGAACGGGUGAGUAACGCGUAGGUAACCUGCCUGGUAGCGGGGGAUAACUAUUGGAAACGAUAGCUAAUACCGCAUAAGAGUAGAUGUUGCAUGACAUUUACUUAAAAGGUGCAAUUGCACCACUACCAGAUGGACCUGGGUUGUAUUAGCUAGUUGGUGGGGUAAAGGCUUACCAAGGCGACGAUACAUAGCCGACCUGAGAGGGUGAUCGGCCACACUGGGACUGAGACACGGCCCAGACUCCUACGGGAGGCAGCAGUAGGGAAUCUUCGGCAAUGGACGGAAGUCUGACCGAGCAACGCCGCGUGAGUGAAGAAGGUUUUCGGAUCGUAAAGCUCUGUUGUAAGAGAAGAACGAGUGUGAGAGUGGAAAGUUCACACUGUGACGGUGUCUUACCAGAAAGGGACGGCUAACUACGUGCCAGCCGCCGCCGUAA